rnacentral:rRNA from 1 species
UCCGUAGGUGAACCUGCGGAGGGAUCAUUACAGAGAACAUCGCCCGCAAGGGUGACUCUCCAACCCUAUGUUAAUUAUACCUUUGUUGCUUUGGCGAGCCGCUUCGGCCACCGGCUCACGCUGGUGAGCGCUCGCCAGAGGACCCUAAACUCUGUUUAUACAUGUCGUCUGAGUACUAUAUAAUAGUUAAAACUUUCAACAACGGAUCUCUUGGUUCUGGCAUCGAUGAAGAACGCAGCGAAAUGCGAUAAGUAAUGUGAAUUGCAGAAUUCAGUGAAUCAUCGAAUCUUUGAACGCACAUUGCACUCUCUGGUAUUCCGGAGAGUAUGCUUGUUUGAGUAUCUGUAAACAUCUCAAAUCUCUCGACUUUCGAGUUUGAGAGAAUUGGACUUGAGCAAUCCCAACUCCUUCGUCAGAAAGAGGAGGGUUGCUUGAAAUGCAGGUGCAGCUGGGCAUUCUUCUGAGCUAAAAGCAUAUUUAUUUAGUCCCGUCAAACGGAUUAUUAUUCUUGCUUCAGCUUACAUAAAGGUUGAAUGACUACCGAGGCUGAUUGCAGGUAAACUCGUUCCGUAAAAAAGAACUUGUGAACUCGAUCUCAAAUCAAGUAAGACUACCCGCUGAACUUAAGCAUAUCAAUAAGCGGAGGA